rnacentral:rRNA from 1 species
UACGUAGGUGGCAAGCGUUGUCCGGAUUUACUGGGUGUAAAGGGCGUGCAGCCGGAGAGACAAGUCAGAUGUGAAAUCCACGGGCUCAACCCGUGAACUGCAUUUGAAACUGUUUCCCUUGAGUGUCGGAGAGGUAAUCGGAAUUCCUUGUGUAGCGGUGAAAUGCGUAGAUACAAGGAAGAACACCAGUGGCGAAGGCGGAUUACUGGACGAUAACUGACGGUGAGGCGCGAAAGCGUGGGGAGCAAACAGG